GAGGGUAUAGCUCAGUGGCAGAGUGUAUGCCCAGCAUGCACAGGGUCCUAGGUUCAAUCCCCAGUACCUCCA
rfam:Camelus ferus unplaced genomic scaffold scaffold715, whole genome shotgun sequence.